ACACAUGCAAGUCGAGCGGGGUGAUGUAGCUUGCUACAUUACCUAGCGGCGGACGGGUGAGUAAUGCUUAGGAAUCUGCCUAUUAGUGGGGGACAACAUUCCGAAAGGAAUGCUAAUACCGCAUACGCCCUACGGGGGAAAGCAGGGGAUCUUCGGACCUUGCGCUAAUAGAUGAGCCUAAGUCAGAUUAGCUAGUUGGUGGGGUAAAGGCCUACCAAGGCGACGAUCUGUAGCGGGUCUGAGAGGAUGAUCCGCCACACUGGGACUGAGACACGGCCCAGACUCCUACGGGAGGCAGCAGUGGGGAAUAUUGGACAAUGGGCGAAAGCCUGAUCCAGCCACGCCGCGUGUGUGAAGAAGGCCUUUUGGUUGUAAAGCACUUUAAGCGAGGAGGAGGCUACUUAGAUUAAUACUCUAGGAUAGUGGACGUUACUCGCAGAAUAAGCACCGGCUAACUCUGUGCCAGCAGCCGCGGUAAUACAGAGGGUGCGAGCGUUAAUCGGAUUUACUGGGCGUAAAGCGUGCGUAGGCGGCUUCUUAAGUCGGAUGUGAAAUCCCUGAGCUUAACUUAGGAAUUGCAUUCGAUACUGGGAAGCUAGAGUAUGGGAGAGGAUGGUAGAAUUCCAGGUGUAGCGGUGAAAUGCGUAGAGAUCUGGAGGAAUACCGAUGGCGAAGGCAGCCAUCUGGGCCUAAUACUGACGCUGAGGUACGAAAGCAUGGGGAGCAAACAGGAUUAGAUACCCUGGUAGUCCAUGCCGUAAACGAUGUCUACUAGCCGUUGGGGCCUUUGAGCUUUAGUGGCGCAGCUAACGCGAUAGUAGACCGCCUGGGGAGUACGUCGCAGACUAAAACUCAAAUGAAUUGACGGGGCUCGCACAAGCGGUGGA
rnacentral:rRNA from 1 species